UACGUAGGGUGCAAGCGUUGUCCGGAAUUAUUGGGCGUAAAGAGCUCGUAGGUGGUUCGGUAAGUCGGAUGUGAAAUCUCCAGGCUCAACCUGGAGGGGUCAUUCGAUACUGCCGUGACUAGAGUUCGGUAGGGGAGUGUGGAAUUCCUGGUGUAGCGGUGAAAUGCGCAGAUAUCAGGAGGAACACCGGUGGCGAAGGCGGUUCUCUGGGCAUAUCCUGACGCUGAGGAGCGAAAGUGUGGGGAGCGAACAGG
rnacentral:rRNA from 1 species